GUGUUAAUCCGUGGUUAAAAUAAAAACCACAGGUCACAGGAUAAGUAAAAUUUCACUUAUUCUGUGUAAAAACCAUUUAGAAUUAUUGCUAUAAUUAUUUAUUUAUAGAUGGCGUUGAUUGUCUUGUACAGAUCAUGAGGGAACAUUUCGAUUUUAUUCGACCAAUCUAUCCUUUCGUCCCUACCAUUGACAUACUAAUAAAUGGACUGAUUGUAGAAAGAUAUUGCAUAUAACUUAAGACGGUCAUUGAAGAACAAAUCACAUAUUAAGAAAAAUACUUAAUUUUUAACUUGAAAUGAUUCUUCGGUUAAAACCAACAAAGAAAAGUAUUAUUAUAUUAUAAUAUAUAUAUUACAUUAAUAUUUUACAUUAUCACAUCGCCAAAUUUUGAUUAUCAUUCCAUGGUAUCUUAUUUUUUUCUUUUAUGACUUUCUUAAACUAUACUCUCUCUUUCUAAAGCGGCCUCUACACGAUCAAUAAUAUUGCACAAUAAUUGAUAUUGCGCAAUAUUAUUGACUCUAGUAUAUAUAUUGAAGGAUUGUACAAUAUAUUGAAGAAAUCAAACUGGAUUGGAAAUUUAUUGCACAAUACACAAUAUCGUAAUGUUAUCGAUAGUCUCUGAUUGACAGAAAUAGCUUCUCUCAAAAAAUGUCUAUAGUCGUCUGGUUCAGUCAUUCGUAGAAAGUUCAAUACAUUUUUAGGACUAAAUUGCUCUUUUCGUUUAAACUACACUUUAAUCUAACGUCUUCU